rnacentral:rRNA from 1 species
AGAACGAGCGCUGGCGGCAGGCUUAACACAUGCAAGUCGAACGCCCCUCCUUCAAGCUCGCUUGGAGGAUCUUCUGGAUAGAGAAGGUCAAGACCGCAGGCGGUCUUGAUGGAGGGGAGUGGCAGACGGGUGAGUAACGCGUGGGAACGUACCCUUUGGUUCGGAAUAACUCAGGGAAACUUGAGCUAAUACCGGAUAAGUCCGUAAGGAGAAAGAUUUAUCGCCAAUGGAUCGGCCCGCGUCGGAUUAGCUAGUUGGUGGGUAAUGGCCCACCAAGGCGACGAUCCGUAGCUGGUCUGAGAGGAUGAUCAGCCACACUGGGACUGAGACACGGCCCAGACUCCUACGGGAGCAGCAGGUGGGGAUAGUGGACAAGUGGACGAAAGCCUGAUCCAGCCAUGCCGCGUGAGUGAAGAAGGCCUUAGGUUGUAAAGCUUCUUUCGAGCGGGACG